UACAGAGGUCUCAAGCGUUGUUCGGAAUACUGGGCGUAAAGGCUCGUAGGCGGCCAACUAAGUCGGAUGUGAAAUCCCCAGGCUCAACCUGGGAACUGCAUCCGAUACUGGAUGGCUUGAAUCCGGGAGAGGGAUGCAGAAUUCCAGGUGUAGCGGUGAAAUGCGUAGAUAUCUGGAGGAAUACCGGUGGCGAAGGCGGCAGUCCUGGACCGGCAUUGCACGCGGAGGAGCGAAAGCUAGGGGAGCAAACGGG
rnacentral:rRNA from 1 species